rnacentral:rRNA from 1 species
UCUUUAUAAUAAAAUUAUUUUUAUAGGUUAUUUUAUUUAAAUUCGUUAUUUUAAUAUUAAAUUAUUUUAUUGGGGUGAUAUAAAAAUUUAAUUAACUUUUUAAAAUUUUCUUCUUUAAUUAAAGAUUUUUAAAUAAUGAUCUAUUAAUAAUAAUUCAAAGAAUAAGA